GAUGAACGCUGGCGGCGUGCCUAAUACAUGCAAGUCGGACGCUGGAGAUCUAGCUUGCUAGAUCGAAGGAGUGGCGAACGGGUGAGUAAUACAUAAGCAACCUACCCACGAAGACUGGGAUAAUCUCUGGAAACGGGGACUAAUACCGGAUAGGUAAUCGGAAGGCAUCUUCUGGUUAUUAAAGGUUAAAAACACUGGUGGAUGGGCUUAUGGCGCAUUAGUUAGUUGGUGAGGUAACGGCCCACCAAGACGAUGAUGCGUAGCCGGCCUGAGAGGGUGAACGGCCACAUUGGGACUGAGACACGGCCCAGACUCCUACGGGAGGAAGCAGUAGGGAAUUUUCAGCAAUGGGGGCAACCCUGACCGAGCAACGCCGCGUGAGUGAAGACGGCCUUCGGGUUGUAAAGCUCUGUUGUAAGGGAAGAACGGUAGAUAGAGAAUAUCUAAGUGACGGUACCUUACCAGAAAGCCACGGCUAACUACGUG
rnacentral:rRNA from 1 species